AGUGGGCUGAGCCUUGGGAGCCUGUGUGCCAUGCUAACUUCUUCCCAGGGGACAGAGCAGCCUGACACCACCUUCCAUGACAACUUCUCUUGCCACCUCUACAUCAGCUCUCUGUAUCUGCAGACUUCUGGCUUUGAAACACAUCUCAAUUGCACCAAAGCACUGAGCACAUCCUGCUCCAGGCCCUUUGCUUUGUCAUGCUGAGCAGCACAUCUGACACCAGCUGAAAACAUCUGGAAUGGUUCUGAUAGGAGCAGAGCCAGCUGCCUUUUCAUAGUUCUCUGGGACUGAGAGAUAUAUAUCAGAUGUGAGUGUCUCUCCUCACUAAUAAUAUGUUAUCUGAAUAAAUAACUGGUGGUGGCUUA